CCCUUAGAUGUUCUGGGCCGCACGCGCGCUACACUGAUACGUUCAACGAGUUUACAACCUUGAUCGAAGGGUCUGGGUAAUCUUUUGAAUGCGUAUCGUGCUAGGGAUAGACUAUUGCAAUUAUUAGUCUUGAACGAGGAAUUCCUAGUAAACGCAAGUCAUCAGCUUGCAUUGAUUACGUCCCUGCCCUUUGUACACACCGCCCGUCGCACCUACCGAUUGAAUGACUCGGUGAGAUAUCGGGACCGUUGUCUGGUUUGAUUCAUUUCGAACUAGAUAGUGGGAACUUUCUUUAACCUAUUUAUUUAGAGGAAGGUGAAGUCGUAACA
rnacentral:rRNA from 1 species